rnacentral:piRNA from 1 species
UACCUUAGUGGGAUCAGUUGUGGGCGA